UACGAAGGGUGCAAGCGUUACUCGGAAUUACUGGGCGUAAAGCGUGCGUAGGUGGUUUGUUAAGUCUGAUGUGAAAGCCCUGGGCUCAACCUGGGGAAUUGCAUUGGAUACUGGCAGGCUAGAGUGCGGUAGAGGCCAAUGGAAUUCCGGGUGUAGCGGUGGAAUGCGUAGAGAUCCGGAAGAACACCGGUGGCGAAGGCGGUUGGCUGGGCCGUGAGCUGACACUGAGGCGCGACAGCGUGGGGAG
rnacentral:rRNA from 1 species